rnacentral:rRNA from 1 species
GCUAAAAAUCUAGCCCAACCUAAGCAUAUGAAAAAAUAAAAAUUUUUUUACACUAAUCAAAACAUUCUUAUUUCCUAGUAAAGGCGAUUGAAAAGUCUAAUUGGAGCUAUAUACAAUGUACCGCAAGGGAAAGAUGAAAUAAUAAUGAAAUACUCUCAAGCACAAUUCAGUAGAGAUUCAACCUCGUACCUUUUGCAUCAUGGUUUAACUAGUCUAAUCAAGCAAAACGAACUUUAGUUUGACCUCCCGAAACUAAGUGAGCUACUUCAAGGCAGCUUAUUGAGCCGACCCGUCUCUGUUGCAAAAGAGUGGGAAGACCUUCAAGUAGGGGUGACAGACCUAACGAACUUAGUGAUAGCUGGUUGCUCAAGAAAAGGAUUUAAGUUCAGCCUAAAAUUACCUCAAUUUCACGAAAUAAGGUCUUAAUUUUAGAGUUAUUCAAAUAAGGUACAGCCUAUUUGAAACAGGGUACAACCUAGAUCAGCGGGUAAUCUCUUUAUAUAAUCUAACCAAGUAGGCCUAAAAGCAGCCACCUUUAAAAUAGCGUCACAGCUUAAUUAAAUGAUUGAUAAAUCUCAUUAAAAUUUUAGAACCCCUACUCUAUAUUGAGCAAUUCUAUAGCCCUAUAGAACAUAUUAUGUUAAAACUAGUAACAAGAAGAAAACCUUCUCUUUAAUGUAAGUGUAAAUCAGGUAGGAUAAACCACUGAUAAUUAACAUCCAUGAGCUGAGAGUAUUAACCCAUCAAGAAAACUAUACUUCUUUAUAUGUUAACCUAACACAAGAGCAUUUCAAGAAAGAUUAAAAGAAAAAGAAGGAACUCGGCAAAUUUUAACCUCGCCUGUUUACCAAAAACAUCGCCUCUUGAUUAACAAUAAGAGGUCCAGCCUGCCCAGUGACUCAGUUUAACGGCCGCGGUAUCCUAACCGUGCGAAGGUAGCGUAAUCACUUGUUCUUUAAAUGAGGACUAGUAUGAAUGGCACCACGAGGGUUAUACUGUCUCCUUUUUCCAAUCAGUGAAACUAAUCUUCCCGUGAAGAAGCGGGGAUUAAAUUAUAAGACGAGAAGACCCUAUGGAGCUUUAAACAAAGUAACAAUUGCUACUCUACUUUCUAAUUUCUGAAAACUAACUUAUUUUAGCCUUAUGAUUACUAGUUUUAGGUUGGGGUGACCGCGGAGAAUAAUUUAACCUCCACAUUGAAUGAAUUCUAUUCUAAGCUAAAAGCCACGACUUUAAGCAUCAAUAAAUUGACAUCUAUUGAUCCAAUACUUUUUGAUCAACGAACCAAGUUACCCUAGGGAUAACAGCGCAAUCCACUUCAAGAGCUCCUAUCGACAAGUGGGUUUACGACCUCGAUGUUGGAUCAGGGUAUCCCAGUGGUGCAGCCGCUACUAAAGGUUCGUUUGUUCAACGAUUAAAACCCU